CGGACGGGUGAGUAACGCGUGGGUAACCUGCCUCACACAGGGGGAUAACAGUUGGAAACGGCUGCUAAUACCGCAUAAGCGCACAGUACCGCAUGGUACGGUGUGAAAAACUCCGGUGGUGUGAGAUGGAUCCGCGUCUGAUUAGCUAGUUGGCGGGGCAACGGCCUACCAAGGCGACGAUCAGUAGCCGACCUGAGAGGGUGACCGGCCACAUUGGGACUGAGACACGGCCCAA
rnacentral:rRNA from 1 species